GUCCACGCCGUAACGAUGGGUACUAGGCGUCGGGAGGCGACCCUUCCGGUGCCGUCGCUAACGCAGUAAGUACCCGCCUGGGAGGUACGGCCGCAAGGCUGAAACUCAAAGGAAUUGACGGGGCCCGGCACAAGCGGUGGAGCAUGUGGUUUAAUUCGAAGCAACGCGAAGAACCUUACCUGGGCUUGACAUGCACGGGAAAUCCGGUGGAAACAUCGGCCCCUCUUCGGAGUCCGUGCACAGGUGCUGCAUGGCUGUCGU
rnacentral:rRNA from 1 species